UAGUGCGCCAGUUGCUUACUCAAUACAUCCUGAAACAGAAAUAGCAUGCCUGCCAAGAGAAUGGGGGCAAUAUAUAAACAACUGUGCAUGAGCCAUGAGACAAGAAUAAGGAGAUAAUAUAAAGAUUGAGAUUAUGCUAUAGUAUAUAUGCAUCCAUGCCAUUUAGUAUAACACCUAUUCCUAUCCAAGUUGAAUUGUUUAGUUUGAGAUAUGGGAGUAGACCAAACAAGACUAGAGGCCAGAAGAGGGGUGGGGAAAGAUAAUGCAACCGCCGCGUAUGAUAAAAAUAUAUCAAGCAAUUUCUUGUUGUCACGGAAAAAUUUCUAAUCCUUGUUUAGCAGUCAGUUGUUGCAUUUAGCUCGCAAAAUGCAGCCCCUCUGAUGGUGAGUAUGAUUUCACUCGGUGGUUCCACGACAUCACCUAUUACGUCUGGUCCAUGCUGCUUGGAAAUCAGAGCAUGGGGAUGGAUGUUGGAGCGCAAAUCCAAGGGCAAGACAAUUGCACAACGGCGUAGAACAGCCCACUUACGUGUUGAAACCUGAAGGGAUAUGAGCAGGAAAAGAUCGAUGGCCUUGGUGCUUCACGGUGCGCUUGAUAGGGGUCAAAUCUUCUAUUGGUCCAAUUAUCUUCAGAGCUACGGCGAACAUGAUGUUUGUUUGUUGCUUCAUUUGCUCGCGCUAGUACGACUCUCCUCGAUUGAUCUGUUUUCUCAGGCUCUCGCGUGAGGUUAGCACAAUUUUUUUUUUAGAUUUUUGAUCGAUUUUUGAUAUCUUCAACCCAAAUUACACGAUUUCAAACAUUUUCUUGAGGUCCAGAAAAUCAAGGUUUAACCGUUUUUAUGGGCUAUAGCCCCCAUUUUCAAGUUUUUGGCAUAUUUUUCCAAUAUUAUCACCUCGGUACACAGUUUCGAGCCUGGUCUGGGUAAUCAACUCCUUCAAUAGAAUGUUACGGAGUACAUGCAUGAUACGCAUCUUAUUAAUUAGGCAUGUGUUAAUUACACUUCGAUCUCCCGUUCUCCAUUAAUUAUGUGUUCAUUUUCAUUUGAGAUCGCUAUAGAAUUUUAGAACUUAAUGCACUACGUGCGAUUUGCUAGUAUGCUAGAGAGAAUGAAUGAUAAGUACGGAGUAUAACACAAUUUACUUUUUUUUUAAGUGGAAUAACACAAUUUACUUUUUUUUAGGGUAAUAACACAAUUUACUAAGCACUUCAGGUGUCUCCUCGCCUCUGCCAGAGGAGUUGCAGGCUAGGAUCCAGCAUCGGCCAGCGCGGCAGAGCCAUUUCCCCUGAACGCGCGGCUGGCCCACUUAGCGGCAGGCCCAGCCCAUUAUGGAGAUCGUGCGUCGGCCUACCAAAGACAGCAGCCAUUGAAUGAGUUGAUCAUUCAACCGUAAUGAACUGUUCCUUGCAAAUGCAAAUGUUAAUACUCGUGGUUCCUUUAGCUCUCGAUCGGUAGGGCCUAGUUGCUUAUUGGCAUGUGCAUCGCUUUGGAGAAGUUAGAAUCACACUCAAUACAUGCUGAAACAGAAAUAGCUAGCUAGCUAGCAUGGCUGCCCAACAGAAUGGGGGCAAUAUAUAAACACCAUGAACGGCAUGAGCCAUGAGAUGAGUCGAGAGAUAAUAUAAGAGUGAGCUAGAUUAUGCUAGCAAAUAUGCGUCCAUACCAUUUACAAAUUACAAACACCUUUUCCUAUCCAAUUUGUUUAAUUCUUUGAGAUAUCGGAGUAGACCAAACAAGUCAAAAGGCAAGAAGAGGUGUGGAGGAAGAUUAGGCAACUUUACCGUAUGAUAAAAACCUUGUGAGAGCUUGCUUCUGUUUUUGGGUCUCGGCACAUAUGUUGAUUCUUAUCCAGAAGUUAGUUGUUGCUCUAGCUUCCAAGAUCAACAAUUCUUACCGCGAGGAUGUCUUUACUCAGCGGUUCGUUGCGCACGGCCAUUGUGGUGGUUCGAUGCUACUCAGAAAUCCGAGAUGCUACUCAGAAAUCCGAGCGUGUGGAUGGAGUCAUCCAGGAUGUCAAAGUGGAAAUCCGGUGUCAAGACUACUGCACAACGGCAUAGCCUAGUCAACAUGUUGAAACUUGAAACAUGAAAAAAUGUUAAUGGAGAAAUGAUGCCCUUGGUCAUAGAAGUCAAAUCUUCCAUUGGUCCAAUCGGCUCGACGGUUAUGAUCAAGAAAGAUGAUAUCCUGUGGGGUGCGAUAUGGAGAAAUUACCAUUGUCUAGUGAUGACACACACGGCCAUCAAUCUUCAAGUUCUUCUUUCUUAAGGCAGUUGCAUUUUUAUUUGGUGAAGAGACUAGUGUCUCCAUUUACAUUUGUUUGUAACAUCCAUAUUACUCCCUACAUUUCACAAAUUAAGAAUGAUAGUCACACAUUUCAAGA
rnacentral:lncRNA from 1 species